rnacentral:rRNA from 1 species
AGAAUCAACGCUGGCGGCGUGCCUAACACAUGCAAGUCGCACGAGAAAGGGGAGCAAUCCCUGAGUACAGUGGCGCACGGGUGAGUAACACGUGAAUCAUCUACCUCCGAGUGGGGAAUAACUGAGAGAAAUCUUAGCUAAUACCGCAUAACACUUACGAGUCAAAGCAGCAAUGCGCUUGGAGAGGAGUUCGCGGCAGAUUAGUUAGUUGGCGGGGUAAUGGCCCACCAAGACGAUGAUCUGUAUCCGGCCUGAGAGGGCGCACGGACACACUGGAACUGAAACACGGUCCAGACUCCUACGGGAGGCAGCAGUGGGGAAUUUUGCGCAAUGGGGGAAACCCUGACGCAGCAACGCCGCGUGGAGGAUGAAGCCCCUUGGGUGUAAACUCCUUUCGAUCGGGAAGAUAAUGACGGUACCGAUAUAAGAAGCCCCGGCUAACUUCGUGCCAGCAGCCGCGGUAA